rnacentral:lncRNA from 1 species
UGAUCAUAUAUUUACUGGUUAUGACAGCUAACACUUUCAAAGAAGAAAGAAAAAUAUCAGAUUAAGGAUUCGACAUCCCACAUAUUUUGAGUUCUACAUCCAAAUGAAUUAUCCGGAACUGCAUACAUUUCCCUUCAGCUAUUUUGAGUUCUACAUCCAUAUGAAUUAUCUGCAGGCUUUUAGUCAUGUUGAGACUGCAAACUGAUGUUGGUGCUACUUUUGCUACUACAUCAAACAGGCAUCAAAGAUAUAUCCUUGCCAGAUAAAAGGUAAUUUCACUUCAUCUCCAUGUGCCUCUACAUGCUUCUCCAUGAGGAUAUUUUCCCAAACGUGGAGUUUGGCCUCUCAAAGAGAUCACACAACUGAGCCUCAUAUGAAAAAGUAUGUUCUCUAGCUAUUUGCAGUGACUUAGCAAACCAUGAACUGAAGAAGAAGGAUGAUAAUGAAAUGAAGUGAAAGAAGCACAGCAAAAGCAUAUGGAGCUGCAGAGAAACAAACAGAAGCUAUCUGAAGACAUGUCAAACUCCUGAGAGCCCCACACGAGUAGUGGAUUCCUGAAAAGAAAGAGCAGCUUGCAAUAGAUAGGACCAUUUCAGCAAGCCAAAAGCCUGUGUUAAAUUUUGCUGUAUUUUCCUUAUGGAUAAGCCAGAUAUCAUAAUUAGGAUGGGAGGGGACACGGUUUGCAGCAGGCAGAAGGUCCACUUUAGUCUUUGAAUCAUUAUUACAGACUAAAAAAUAAUGAAAGCACGAUCCACAGAAAUUGCUGCUGAACACGUAGAGACCGAGAACUUCUGAUCACACAAGUACUGGCACAUCAUCAGGAACACUAUUUCUCUAGCUCUGCUGAUCCAUAUCGGUAGAUCAGAUUCCUGCAGGACCAGCGUCACUAGAAUAUUUGUAAAGCAGAGCUCCCCCUUGUGGAUUUAAGAGCCACUAGACCUUGGAAGGAACAAAACCUAGCUUUGGUACUAAGGGUUGUGCCCUAGAAUGAUUUGAUAACCCUGCCCGAGUGCAUGAGAAGCUGACUGACCUUUUGCCAAGAGAAGGGGAACCUAUCUGCAUCCCACCAUCAUCUUUUAUGCUACAAAAACUAUGAUACCUUUCAGCAACUUCCAUUAGGCAUUCCCCAGCAUUUUAGUGUGCACUAAAGUCCUUGAACUUGCUGGUGGCUGGUCAGAUGACGUACGUCGACUCAAUUAUUGGGGUAUCCCCGC